AAAAGUCGUAACAAGGUUUCCGUAGGUGAACCUGCGGAAGGAUCAUUAAUAAAAGGAUACCUUCGGGUAUACCCCAUCCGUGUCUACAUACUCUUGUUGCUUUGGCAGGCCGUGGUCUUCCACUGUGGGCUCUGCCUGCAUGUGCCUGCCAGAGGACCAAACUCUGAAUGUUAGUGAUGUCCGAGUACUAUAUAAUAGUUAAAACUUUCAACAACGGAUCUCUUGGUUCUG
rnacentral:misc_RNA from 1 species